GGAAGGAUCAUUAACACGUUCCAAAACAACUCUUUCAAAACAUGUGCGAACUUGUGUCGGGAGGGGUUCUCUGUAACAGGGGAGCUCUUCUCGCGUUUAAUUAUAAACCUAUUAACCACAAAACCCCUACUCGUUUGACAGUCUUAAACAUAUACAGACGUACCCUUGUGGUAUUGUUUGGAUAAACGCUUAAAUACAACUUUUAGCAACGGAUAUCUUGGUUCUCGCAACGAUGAAGAACGCAGCGAAAUGCGAUACGUAAUGCGAAUUGCAGAAUUCAGUGAAUCAUCGAAUCUUUGAACGCAAAUUGCGCUUUCGGGUUUCUGCCUGGAAGCAUGCCUCUUUGAGCAUCGGUUCACCUCUACCUUCAGGCUUGCUUGAAGUGUGAAACGAUAGAUGAGUCGUCCCGGCCUGUAAAGGGUUGGGUCACUUGAAAUACUAUGUACCAAUAGAAAGCCUAUAUCUCUUUCAUUCUAGUGCGUAUUUGAGGUAGUUUCCGAAGAUUCGCUCUUUUGGAAGGAGAUGUGAGCAGGGUACACCCCUGGAUGUAGUCGUGUGUAGGAUUUAAAAACUCUUAUGCAUGGUUCGUCCAAACAAACUCUAGUAUCUGAUCUCAAAUGAGGCAAGAGGACCCGCUGAACUUAAGCAUAUUAAUAAGCGGAGGAAAAGAAACUAACAAGGAUUCCCCUAGUAACGGCGAGUGAAGCGGGAACAGCUCAAUCUGAAAAUUGGAGUGCUUCAGGUACUCCGAAUUGUAGUCUAGAGAACUGGUGGCAGCGUGUGGCCCAGACCUAAGUCCUUUGGAAGAGGGCGUCACAGAGGGUGAGAACCCCGUCUAUGGUUUGGAGACCGCCGCGUACGUCGCUAGCUUCAACGAGUCGGGUUGUUUGGGAAUGCAGCCCAAAAUGGGUGGUAAAUUCCAUCUAAAGCUAAAUACAUGCGAGAGACCGAUAGCGAACAAGUACCGUGAGGGAAAGAUGAAAAGAACUUUGAAAAGAGAGUUAAAAAGUGCUUGAAAUUGCUAAAAGGGAAGCAAUGGAAACCAGUAGUCGUGGCAUGUUCAUUUUCCUGUUUGGCUAGUUGAUGUAGUAUUGUGAGGAGUUAUUACUGACCUUCAUAGUGCUGCAAACGGCUGGUUGGGCAGUCCCUAUGGAUGUGCACGUGUCAAACCCGCUUCGGAAAUAAUUCACAGGAUAUGCGCCCAGGGGAAGGUAGCAGGGAGCUGUGUACUCAGUGAACUGUGUUAUAGACCUUGGGAUCGUGCUGUGCAACUGGAGCGGGCGAGUCUUGCCUCUUGCUAGGUGAGCUCCCAGCGGUGUAAGGUUGUGUACUCUGUUUAUGGUUCCGUUUGGAGACAACAAAGUUGUGUCCGAAUGGGAUUCGUGAGCACGGUAUGUGAUGUGAGCCGUUGCCUUGACGUAAAUGGUUUUCACUGACCCGUCUUGAAACACGGACCAAGGAGUCUGACAUAUAUGCGAGUAUUUGGGUGAUUUAAACCCUGAUGCGCAAUGAAAGUGAAGGCAGGCAGUUGUCUGCUGAGGUGGGACUCUGGCCCCUCUGUGGGUAUUUGCCAGAAGCACCAUCGACCGAUCGUUCACUUGUGGAGGAUUUGAGUAAGAGCAUAUCUGUUGGGACCCGAAAGAUGGUGAACUAUGCCUGGACAGGGCGAAGCCAGGGGAAACUCUGGUGGAGGCUCGUAGCGAUACUGACGUGCAAAUCGUUCGUCUGAUCUGGGUAUAGGGGCGAAAGACUAAUCGAACCAUCUAGUAGCUGGUUCCCUC
rnacentral:misc_RNA from 1 species